rnacentral:rRNA from 1 species
UACGUAGGGGGCAAGCGUUGUCCGGAUUUAUUGGGCGUAAAGAGCGUGUAGGCGGCUUUACAGGUCCGUUGUGAAAACUCGAGGCUCAACCUCGAGACGCCGGUGGAAACCGUAAGGCUAGAGUCCGGAAGAGGAGAGUGGAAUUCCUGGUGUAGCGGUGAAAUGCGCAGAUAUCAGGAAGAACACCAAUGGCGAAGGCAGCUCGCUGGGACGGUACUGACGCUGAGACGCGAAAGCGUGGGGAGCGAACAGG